CCUACGGGUGGCAGCAGUCGAGAAUCAUUCACAAUGGGGGAAACCCUGAUGGCGCGACGCCGCGUGGGGGAAUGAAGGUCUUCGGAUUGUAAACCCCUGUCAUGUGGGAGCAAAUUAAAAAGAUAGUACCACAAGAGGAAGAGACGGCUAACUCUGUGCCAGCAGCCGCGGUAAUACAGAGGUCUCAAGCGUUGUUCGGAAUCCCUGGGCGUAAAGCGUGCGUAGGCUGUUUCGUAAGUCGUGUGUGAAAGGCGCGGGCUCAACCCGCGGACGGCACAUGAUACUGGGAGACUAGAGUAAUGGAGGGGGAACCGGAAUUCGCGGUGUAGCAGUGAAAUGCGUAGAUAUCGAGAGGAACACUCGUGGCGAAGGCGGGUUCCUGGACAUUAACUGACGCUGAGGCACGAAGGCCAGGGGAGCGAAAAGGAUUAGAUACCCCUGUAGUC
rnacentral:rRNA from 1 species